rnacentral:rRNA from 1 species
UACGAAGGGGGCUAGCGUUGUUCGGAAUUACUGGGCGUAAAGCGCACGCAGGCGGCUCGAUAAAUUAGAAGUGAAAGCCCCGGGCUUAACCUGGGAAUUGCUUUUAAGACUGUCGGGCUAGAAUCCAGAAGAGGGUAGUGGAAUUCCGAGUGUAGGGGUGAAAUUCGUAGAUAUUCGGAAGAACACCAGUGGCGAAGGCGACUACCUGGUCUGGCAUUGACGCUCAUGUGCGAAAGCGUGGGGAGCAAACAGG